rnacentral:rRNA from 1 species
CUCUCCCUACGAGGCGCAGCAGUAGGGAAUCUUCCACAAUGGACGAAAGUCUGAUGGAGCAACGCCGCGUGAGUGAAGAAGGGUUUCGGCUCGUAAAGCUCUGUUGGUAGUGAAGAAAGAUAGAGGUAGUAACUGGCCUUUAUUUGACGGUAAUUACUUAGAAAGUCACGGCUAACUACGUGCCAGCAGCCGCGGUAAUACGUAGGUGGCAAGCGUUGUCCGGGUUUAUUGGGCGUAAAGCGAUGGGAGGCGGGU